CAGUCAAGGCUUCUGUAGUUGUUAAAUAUUUUUUAACAUUUGUGUUGAAAUAUUUUAAUAGUUUUUCAACAGGAUUUUAGCUUCAAACAAAUGAGGAAAAUGAGAAUGUUUGAUUCACCAAUAAAUUUACCCACUGCUCGCUCAAGCUUGCUGGCUGUUUCCACCAAGUAUGGGUUGACAUUCAUCGGCUGCCCUACAGGAAUUAAUUGCCAUGAAUAAAAGUGAAAAAAACUGAAACCAUUGAAAGAAUUAAUGAAUCUGAUGAAGGAAGCAUGUACAAUGUUGGUAAGUUGAAGCAGCUCCUUAGCAUAACUAUUCAUCUCUUUACCAUUUGUAGAAUACUGAUAGCAGUUCUUUCCCUUAGAACACCUCCCUCCCCAUCACAUGUCCCACUCUAGGCCUGUUUAUCAUGACACCAGCAUGGGUCACUCUGCUGUUCUUUCAGAACCCUGUUUGCUUUUAAGGGGGCUGAAUUCUUUGAUUGUUCCAUGCUACAAUAUUUGUCCAGUUCUUUACUAAAAAUUUUUCAAACAAAUACCCUUAUAGGCCAGUAUAAUCAGAGUUAGCUACUUAUAUCAUUGCAAAAUAAAGGUGGCUCUGAACUUACUUGUACUUUACAGAAUAUUAAAAACAUGAAUCUUUAAAUGCAAAUAACGAUAAGCUAAUAAAAAAGCAGGGAUACAUGCAUAUCAAACUUGCUAUUGGUAAUUUGUCACAAAACCAGUGGUACAUGUGAAUUACCUGAAUGCAAGUAAUCAACCACAACCGGUAAUCUGAUUGUAUCUUUCAGUGGCCAAUUGCCCUUCAGCCCUCAAAGAAAUUAGUCAUCCUGUACAAUUUGUGGGUCUCAGCAGUGAUGAUGUGACUCUGCCUCUCUGCUAUGUGGAUGGAGAUCAAACUGUCAUAUAUUUGUACAACAUUCCAACACUUGGAAGCUCUGUAUGUUGUACUUUUGUAGACCUGUUUAUCAUGACACCAGAAUCUGUUUCUGCGGGUUUGCAUAAUAAAAUUAAAGAAGCAA